CCCUUAGAUGUUCUGGGCCGCACGCGCGCUACACUGACGAAGUCAGCGAGCAUGUCCUACGCCGACAGGUGCGGGGAAUCUUGUCAAACUUCGUCGUGAUGGGGAUUGAUUAUUGAAGUUCUUGAUCAUCAACGAGGAAUUCCUAGUAAGCGCAAGUCAGCAGCUUGCGUUGAUUACGUCCCUGCCCUUUGUACACACCGCCCGUCGCUACUACCGAUUGAAUGGUUUAGUGAGAUCUUCGGAUUGGCGCCACUGCGGCUCAGCAAUGGGCUCGGUGGAUGCCGAAAAGUUGAUCAAACUUGAUCAUUUAGAGGAAGUAAAAGUCGUAACA
rnacentral:rRNA from 1 species